UACGAGGGGGCGAGCGUUGUUCGGAAUUAUUGGGCGUAAAGGGUGCGUAGGCGGUUCCGCAAGUCCUGUGUGAAAUCUUCGGGCUCAACUCGAAGUCUGCACGGGAAACUGCGGGGCUUGAGUGUGGGAGAGGUGAGUGGAAUUCCCGGGUGUAGCGGUGAAAUGCGUAGAUAUCGGGAGGAACACCUGUGGCGAAAGCGGCUCACUGGACCAUAACUGACGCUGAUGCACGAAAGCUGGGGGAGCAAACAGG
rnacentral:rRNA from 1 species